UGCUCUAUACUACAGGAUAUUCUUUUCUUUUUGGAUUUCUUUUCUGUCAUGACCACAGUGCUCUCUGCUGACACCUCUGUCCAUUUUAGAAACUGUCCAGAGCAGCACAUGUAUCGUGACCGAAUGGGGGACAUGGAGAGAGCCCUAAACUGACCCUAAAAACACUCUCCCUGCCUACUUGCCCAUCCAUCCUAAGCGAUGGAUCUACAACUUGGAGCCGGUCCCUGCCUGCGCUAAAUGCAGUGACGUAAAAACAAAAUGAUAAACAUAAGCCCUUAUUUACUAAGAGUGUUGUGUAGGUUUCUUUGUGGGUUUUAAUUCCCUACAAUUUUUUUCCCACCGUAUUUACUAAGGUUUCCCUACAUUUUCCACUUUCCCUACACUUUGCCUUUUUUUUUCACCUGCUCUGAUCUGUCAGGUUUUCCUCGGCUCAAAUCCACCACAUUUUCUGUGGAAACCUUAGUAAAUAUGUUGGGUUUUUGUGAAAAUUCUGGUGCAAAAUCUGGCGCUGAACUCUACAAAACAUGUUGGGUUUGCAAUAGUAAAUGAGGGACAUAGAAACAGAAACGGAAACCUACUAGACAACCAGAUAUACCAGACAGGAUACAAAUACUAACAGGGCAGAAACAGAAACGGAAACCUACUAGACAACCAGAUAUACCAGACAGGAUACAAAUACUAACAGGGCAGAAACAGAAACAGAAAACUACUAGACAACCAGAUAUACCAGACAGGAUACAAAUACUAACAGGGCAGAAACAGAAACGGAAAACUACUAGACAACCAGAUAUACCAGACAGGAUACAAAUACUAACAGGGCAGAAUAGAAACGGAAAACUACUAGACAACCAGAUAUACCAGACAGGAUACAAAUACUAACAGGGCAGAAACAGAAACGGAAAACUACUAGACAACCAGAUAUACCAGACAGGAUACAAAUACUAACAGGGCAGAAUAGAAACGGAAAACUACUAGACAACCAGAUAUACCAGACAGGAUACAAAUACUAACAGGGCAGAAACAGAAACGGAAAACUACUAGACAACCAGAUAUACCAGACAGGAUACAAAUACUAACAGGGCAGAAACAGAAACGGAAAACUACUAGACAACCAGAUAUACCAGACAGGAUACAAAUACUAACAGGGCAGAAUAGAAACGGAAAACUACUAGACAACCAGAUAUACCAGACAGGAUACAAAUACUAACAGGGCAGAAACAGAAACGGAAACCUACUAGACAACCAGAUAUACCAGACAGGAUACAAAUACUAACAGGGCAGAAACAGAAACGGAAACCUACUAGACAACCAGAUAUACCAGACAGGAUACAAAUACUAACAGGGCAGAAACAGAAACAGAAACCUACUAGACAACCAGAUAUACCAGACAGGAUACAAAUACUAACAGGGCAGAAACAGAAACAGAAACCUACUAGACAACCAGAUAUACCAGACAGGAUACAAAUACUAACAGGGCAGAAACAGAAACGGAAAACUACUAGACAACCAGAUAUACCAGACAGGAUACAAAUACUAACAGGGCAGAAACAGAAACAGAAACCUACUAGACAACCAGAUAUACCAGACAGGAUACAAAUACUAACAGGGCAGAAUAGAAACGGAAAACUACUAGACAACCAGAUAUACCAGACAGGAUACAAAUACUAACAGGGCAGAAACAGAAACGGAAAACUACUAGACAACCAGAUAUACCAGACAGGAUACAAAUACUAACAGGGCAGAAUAGAAACAGGCAAACUGAUCAGGAUCAGAAGACACUGUUCACAAACAGAUACAAGUAUAGUAUAUUUUAUGGUUCUCCUCAGGUGGGGCUCGUUGUCCUCAGGAUCAGUACUGUGCGGUGGCAGCAGUGGGCAGGAGCAGAGGUGGCGGUGCGGAUGAGGAUGUGGAAUACUGCACGGUGGUGCUGAGAAGAUCAUCUGGAGUGAUAUUGAAGACUGAAGAGUCGGUGGAC